GUUGCCAAUGGAAACUCAUUAGUUUUCCUCUGCAAGCUUUAUAACACAAAGUCUCUUCUUUGUGCUGAACCCAAGGUUAUUUUUUAACAUUCGUCAUAUCUUUUCAUUCACUUUUUCUGAUUACAACUUCAGGCAGCUUCACACUUGGGCUUUGGAUACUUGAGAUCCUACUGAAUUACAGGACAUAGGUUCUUUAACCUGGGUAAUUUAUUCCACUGUGAUUAGAAAACUUGAGCACUAUACGGCACACGGAACACGCCCUGCACUGAUCUAAGGAUGUUACUUGAUCUGGUCUGUUUUAUCCUCCCAGCACCCCUUGAAGUGUGUGUUACUAUCUUCCUCACUUUACAGAUGUGGGAACCACGGCACCGAGAGGCUGCAUCACCCAACGUCACACAGCAGGAAGUGCUGAUGCUGGGAUUUGAAUCCAGGAGUCUGCUCUCAAAGUUCCUGCUCAUCCACUACUCUCUGUUGCCUCGCUCGCUGUGAAAGUCUCUGGCCCCGCCUCUGGACAGUCAUGUCCCGAACUUAGCAUGUUUCUCUGGAAUAACAUUUCAUUUGAAGUUGCUGGUCCUCUUAUUCCAAGAAACAUAAGCAGAGCGGAUCCGCAUGGACCCUGUCUUAGGACAGUAUAGGUUAAGCUAUAAGAUUCCUCUUAGCCCAGAUGACAUCACAGAGACAAUACAAUUGCCACAAGGCCCAGGGCUAGGCCAUCAGCCACCAGGGCAGCACACCUCUGUAAUCAGGGAAGCACACAGCAGAGCUCAGGGUGCUUUGAACUUGUUUCAUUAACUCUGGAUUUAGGAGUUCCACUGCAAUAUGAAGAUAUAGGUGAAACCCUCCUGCCUCCCGACCACAAUGUCCCUGUGUCUUUUAAUAAUGGAUUCCUUGGUGUUGAAGGCCUUUGCUGUCAAAGCCAUGCAAACCAGUUAAACCCAAUUAGACACCAUCCCUUGAAGCGAAUGUCUAAGGUAACUACGUCAACUUGUGAUGUCUGCACUAUCAUUCUUUUCUACAAGAAAGGGCUGAGUUUACUUGCAAUUGUAACUAAUUUUAAUGAGUUACUUAGAACUAUUACUGCUCGGGGAAAAUGCACAUAUUUAAGGUAUAUUCUUAAGGUAAACAAAGAAAAAAAUACAUGUGCUUACAUACAGCUCUGGACAAGUAAGUUACAUCUCCAUCAAUUACUAAAAAAAAAUAACACAUCACUGCAACCUUGGUUAUAAAUCAUAUGAUUGCGUAGUUUUUUUUAACAUUUCAAAAUCAAUUCCUAUAACUACUUUAGCAGGAUCAUCUAAAUCCUGCAAAAACUCAUCUAAGCACAUGCAAAAAGCAAGGAUUUGACAAAUUUCAUCAUAGAUUUAUGAUUUAUGAAAAAAAGUCUCACCAACUCAGAAUAAAGAUCUGUCUCACCCUGAUAAAUGGCA
rnacentral:lncRNA from 1 species